CCUACGGGCGGCUGCAGUGGGGAAUUUUGGACAAUGGGCGCAAGCCUGAUCCAGCCAUGCCGCGUGAGUGAAGAAGGCCUUCGGGUUGUAAAGCUCUUUCGGCGGGGAAGAAAUGGCGCUUUCUAAUACAGAGCGUCGAUGACGGUACCCGCAUAAGAAGCACCGGCUAACUACGUGCCAGCAGCCGCGGUAAUACGUAGGGUGCGAGCGUUAAUCGGAAUUACUGGGGGCAAAGCGGGAGGUGAGGUGUGAAAUCCCCGGGCUCAACCUGGGAACUGCAUUUGAGACUGCACGGCUAGAGUGUGACAGAGGGGGGUAGAAUUCCACGUGUAGCAGUGAAAUGCGUAGAGAUGUGGAGGAAUACCGAUGGCGAAGGCAGCCCCCUGGGUUACUACUGACGCUCAUGCACGAAAGCGUGGGGAGCAAACAGGAUUAGAUACCCUGGUAGUC
rnacentral:rRNA from 1 species